rnacentral:tRNA from 1 species
ACCUGGGUGGCUCAGUCGGUUGAGCGUCCGACUUCGGCUCAGGUCAUGAUCUCACGGUCUGUGGGUUCGAGCCCCACAUCAGGCU